UUCCGUCGGUUGUGUGUGCCAGUUGCUUCGACGCAGCUCAUUAUAUAGAGGUAGGGGCGUAGCUAACACGUGAUUCGUGGACUGGCAUCUAGGAUGAUGUAACCUUCUAAAAAUAUCUCAUGGACCACCUUCGCCUCGACCCUGUAAUCUGAAGAGAAGCCGAAUUGCAGCGGUUUAGCCCCUCAUCAAUCGACCUCGCUCUGUUCGCAGAAAUUGCUUGUAGAUCUUGCCCUAUGACCUCUGACACACGGUUGAUCGGAUGACCUGUAUUGUAUUCUGCUAUCAACAACGCGGUAACUCCCAUGGAGCUCCGACAACAUUGCCAGCUGCAGACCGACAAGUGUCUAGAUAGACUAGUACUGUAGAGUUCUUGCUUGCAAAUUGUCAACUAUAUUUACACACUAUGCUAAAUAAAGUCUGGACAGUUUCUGUA